rnacentral:rRNA from 1 species
AGAACGAACGCUGGCGGCAGGCCUCAAACAUGCAAGUCUAGGGGGUGUAGCAAUACAUCACCGGCGGACGGGUGCGUAACACGUGGGAAUAUACCUUUUGGUUCGGAACAACGCAGGGAAACUUGCGCUAAUACCGAAUGUGCCCUUACGGGGAAAGAUUUAUCGCCAAAGGAUUAGCCCGCGUAGGAUUAGCUAGUUGGUGAGGUAAUGGCUCACCAAGGCUCCGAUCCUUAGCUGUUCUGAGAGGAAGAUCAGCCACACUGGGACUGAGACACGGCCCAGACUCCUACGGGAGGCAGCAGUUGGGAAUCUUGGACAAUGGGGGAAACCCUGAUCCAGCCAUGCCGCGUGAGUGAUGAAGGCCUUCGGGUUGUAAAACUCUUUCGACGGGGACGAUAUGACGGUACCGUAGAAGAGCUCCGGCUAACUUCGCGCCAGCAGCCGC